rnacentral:rRNA from 1 species
CAAUAGCGUAUAUUUAAGUUGUUGCAGUUAAAAAGCUCGUAGUUGGAUUUCGGAUGGGACUUGCCGGUCCGUCGUUUCGAUGUGCACUGGCCAGUCCUAUCUUGUUGUCGGGGACUAGCUCCUGGGCUUCACUGUCCGGGACUAGGAGCUGACGAGGUUACUUUGAGUAAAUUAGAGUGUUCAAAGCAAGCCUACGCUCUGAAUACAUUAGCAUGGAAUAACACGAUAGGACUCUGGCUUAUCUUGUUGGUCUGUGAGACCAGAGUAAUGAUUAAGAGGGACAGUCGGGGGCAUUCGUAUUUCAUCGUCAGAGGUGAAAUUCUUGGAUUUAUGAAAGACGAACUUCUGCGAAAGCAUUUGUCAAGGAUGUUUUCAUUA